CCACACCUAAAAAACUUUCCACGUGAACUGUCUUACUUAGUUUUGUGCUGCUGCGGUGGCGGUGUUCUGCGCACAUGUGCGUGGGACGCUGUUUUCUGCAGUGGCUAAACGAAGGUUGGUUGGAGUGUUGUUGUGUGUGCUUUAUUGCGCGCCAUCGUACGCUCUGCCGGCUGACUUAUUUUUUCAACCCCUUACUUUAAAAACUGAACUAUACUGUGAGAACGAAAGUUCUCGCUUUUAACUAGAUAACAACUUUCAGCAGUGGAUGUCUAGGCUCGCACAUCGAUGAAGAACGCUGCGAACUGCGAUACGUAAUGCGAAUUGCAGAAUUCAGUGAGUCAUCGAAAUUUUGAACGCAUAUUGCACUUCCGGGUUAUGCCUGGAAGUAUGUCUGUAUCAGUGUCCGUAAAUCAAACUUGCCUUUCUUUUUCUGUGUAGUCAGGAUUGGAGACGGCCGAUGUGAAGUGUCUCGCGUGCGUCGGUUUUUGGUGAAACAAAAGCACGGCGGUCGAGUCCUUUUAAAACGACACGAUCUUUCUUAUGUGUCUGCGGCGUGUGGCGCUCGAACGCAGUGAUUUUCGGAUCGCUUGUGGUCGUCGGCGACUUCGGUGAAUGCAUUAUGGAGGAAACCUCGGUUCGCGGUACGUUAGGCUUCGGCUGGACAAUGUUGCGAUGCUGUGUGUGGAUUCCGUGUUUAUCUUGAGGUGUACUGGCGGUUGCGGGCUUGAACCGGGUGUUGUUGUGUAGUAGAGAGUUGCAUUUUGUUGUGGAUUCGUCUGUGACUGGCGCCUUUAUUGGUGUCGGUUGUGGGAGAAGGAUUGAUUUGGGAAAUUUUGUGUACACUUUUGUGUACAUCUCAAUUGGACCU
rnacentral:rRNA from 1 species